rnacentral:rRNA from 1 species
AAACCAACAGGGAUUGCCUCAGUAGCGGCGAGUGAAGCGGCAAGAGCUCAGAUUUGAAAUCUCACCUAGUGUGCGAGUUGUAAAUUGCAGGUUGGAGUCUCGGGUUAGACGUGUGUGCAAGUCCCUUGGAACAGGGUGCCACUGAGGGUGAGAGCCCCGUAUCGUGCAUGUCGACACCUGUGAGGCCCUUCUGACGAGUCGAGUUGUUUGGGAAUGCAGCUCUAAGUGGGUGGUAAAUUCCAUCUAAGGCUAAAUAUUGGCGAGAGACCGAUAGCGAACAAGUACUGUGAAGGAAAGAUGAAAAGCACUUUGAAAAGAGAGUGAAACAGCACGUGAAAUUGUUGAAAGGGAAGGGUAUUGGGCUCGACAUGGGAUUUACGCAUCGUUGCCUCUCGUGGGCGGCGCUCUGGGUUUUUCCUGGGCCAGCAUCGGUUUUCGUUGCAGGAUAAGGACAAUUGGAAUGUGGCUCCUCGGAGUGUUAUAGCCUUUUGUAGAUGCUGCGUAUGGGGACCGAGGGCUGCGGCGGACUCGUUUCGUCUCGGAUGCUGGCACAACGGCGCAAUACCGC